UAACUCUGGUGUCUCCCCAAUGGUGGAUAAAUCUUUCUCCUUUUACUAAAGAUUUCCGUGUUGAGGUGCAAUACAAUGAGUCUUAUCGCAUUUUAUUCUGCUCUGUCUUCGGACAGAGU
rnacentral:snRNA from 1 species